GACAGCUUAAAACUGAACACUUCUGUUUAUCACUUAAAAAACUCAUUUUUAGUAUUUUUCUGACAGCACUGGACACCACAAACAAACACAAGAAACUCAAAACAUUCGACAGCUGUGAUUUGGUAAACAGUAAAGGAGUGAGAGAGAUAGAUUAAAGUAUGGCGCCUGAGCGACGUGAAGCGGGGAACGACCGACAGAGCCAUCUAACCAGCCCGCAAAAUAGUAUCAGAAAUAUAAGUGACCGCGGUUUCCUAUACUAGUGUCCAGAGCCUGCAACAGUCUGUGACAAGCUUCGAAUCUGAACCCUCGUUUGGCUGUCGACACUCCCAGGUUCACGAUUGAUUACGAUUGAAUUCUAGAUUAAGAAUUCCCAAUAUAAACUAAUGAAUUUGGAUAUUCAAGAUCAGAAGUCUAUCAAAGGUUUAUCAUCCUUCCAGAAUUGGUGCCGACGUCCAUCAAUUUCCUGACUAGGACGCAGUAAAGUGUCAAAUCAUACGAGUUCUUUUGGAUUGAUUCCAUGAGAAGAAAAAUAUCGAUGCAAGUAAAUUAGGGCAUUGACUUUAAUGAAAAUAAAAGAAAUUUGUCCACAUAUCCAGGCAUCAGCUUAUUUAAUUAAUAAAUUGCUCUAAAGGUUAAAAGAAAAA